rnacentral:lncRNA from 1 species
AAUAAAAUGUAUAUUUCAUUUCAGUAGCAUAUCACAUCAAAUACAAUACAUCAUCCAACGACUCCACGCAUUAAGGUUCAACGCCUAACAAGGGCACAUCAAAAUAAUUUUACAUGUGCACAACAGAAUACUUCUACAAGUGCAAGUGCACAGAAAAAGGACCCAACAAGUGCACAAUCGCACAUAAAGAGAGUUCCACAAAGAUCGGAUGAGAACCACAAGUAUCUUCACAUCCUCUUCCUGUGCACAAUAUGUUCUUGCCAUUGCCGCCUGCAAGAAGAAAAUAAU